CCUACGGGAGGCUGCAGUCGAGAAUCAUUCACAAUGGGGGAAACCCUGAUGGUGCGACGCCGCGUGGGGGAAUGAAGGUCUUCGGAUUGUAAACCCCUGUCAUGUGGGAGCAAAUUAAAAAGAUAGUACCACAAGAGGAAGAGACGGCUAACUCGGUGCCAGCAGCCGCGGUAAUACAGCGGUCUCAAGCGUUGUUCGGAAUCACGGGGCGUAAAGCGUGCGUAGGCUGUUUCGUAAGUCGUGUGUGAAAGGGGCGGGCUCAACCCGCGGACGGCACAUGAUACUGCGAGACUAGAGUAAUGGAGGGGGAACCGGAAUGCUCGGUGUAGCAGUGAAAUGCGUAGAUAUCGAGAGGAACACUCGUGGCGAAGGCGGGUUCCUGGACAUUAACUGACGCUGAGGCACGAAGGCCAGGGGAGCGAAAGGGAUUAGAUACCCCUGUAGUC
rnacentral:rRNA from 1 species